AGCUGUGGUGGUUCAGGCUGUGCUGCCUCGUUUGCUGAGGGAUUUGGAUUUUUUUCCCUUGAGCACCCUGGAAAGAUGGACCUGACCUCAGUGAGAACAAACUGUCCAGCUCAUAAAAGAGAGCUGAGGAAAAAGGAAGGUGGCAGUGCACUGCUCCUGUUCCUGCACAAAGCCUGGACACAGCAUCACUUUUCCAGCUUUGCUCCUUGAAUUCAGGUCAAAUUGGCUCAAAUCCUUGGGCUGGACCCCUGCAGAAAGGAGGAAGAGCUGGUGAAUCCCUGACUGGCCCCAAACCAACCCGGGAAGAGCAGAGGGAGAAGGGUGAGGGACACAGUUAUUCCUCAUCAUCUGGGGACACAGCAAUGACACCAGGUUAAUGAAGGAGGCAGUGGCAGGGUGGCUCACAGGAUCCCCUUCCCGUCCUUCCCGGGCCGGCAGCGACUGCGGGCAGCCAGGAACGGAGGUGGGGAGCUCUGCUGGGAAGGUACGAGCUGAGGUUUAGAAAUCAUGAUGUGUGAAUUGAAAUGGGAAGCAACGGAUCUCGGGAAUCACCGCAACUGCUACAAGGUGUUCCUGAAGCUGUCAGCAAGCCAUCUGCCC